UACGGAGGAUCCAAGCGUUAUCCGGAUUUAUUGGGUUUAAAGGGUGCGUAGGCGGCCUAUUAAGUCAGGGGUGAAAGACGGUGGCUCAACCAUCGCAGUGCCUUUGAUACUGAUGGGCUUGAAUACACUAGAGGUAGGCGGAAUGUGACAAGUAGCGGUGAAAUGCAUAGAUAUGUCACAGAACACCAAUUGCGAAGGCAGCUUACUAUGGUGUUAUUGACGCUGAGGCACGAAAGCGUGGGGAUCAAACAGG
rnacentral:rRNA from 1 species